AUUGAACGCUGGCGGCAUGCCUUACACAUGCAAGUCGAACGGCAGCACGGGAGCAAUCCUGGUGGCGAGUGGCGAACGGGUGAGUAAUAUAUCGGAACGUGCCCAGUCGUGGGGGAUAACGUAGCGAAAGCUACGCUAAUACCGCAUACGAUCUAUGGAUGAAAGCGGGGGAUCGCAAGACCUCGCGCGAUUGGAGCGGCCGAUAUCAGAUUAGGUAGUUGGUGAGGUAAAGGCUCACCAAGCCGACGAUCUGUAGCUGGUCUGAGAGGACGACCAGCCACACUGGGACUGAGACACGGCCCAGACUCCUACGGGAGGCAGCAGUGGGGAAUUUUGGACAAUGGGCGCAAGCCUGAUCCAGCAAUGCCGCGUGCAGGAUGAAGGCCUUGGUUGUAACUAGCUUUGUACGGUAACGAAACGGUAGGAGCGUCUAACUACAGUUUGCUAA
rnacentral:rRNA from 1 species